CAGACCGCACCUUACUCAAUCUAAGUAGAUAUUUUUAAAAAAAUUAGUAAAUUUCUAUAACUUUACUAUCCAUACAUAUGAAAAGCACAUAAAUCUUUGAACCUUCUACAUUACCAGGCUUAAUUAAAACGAUAAAUAAGACUUUGUUUUUAAACUAAUUAAGAAUGAAAGCUCUCGUAGUAACUGCGGAGAAAACUCCGCGUCAAAACCGUUAAAUAAUGGUCUGUAUGGCGAUAAUUAUAUUCAAGAAUUUCUAAAUAGACGGCCAUUGUUUUACACUUGUUACAACUAUGAGAGUAAUAUUAGUAGAGAGUAAUAUUCAUUUAACAAACAGUUGAAAUAAUAAUAGAUGUUAUGUUUCUGUCGACUGAAUGCUCGGUGUUUGGGAAGCAUUCUCUUUAAUACAUGGAAAUUAUUUGUUGGACAAAGACUUUCAACAAUGAUAAAAUAGAACAAGUGAUUAUUUCAACAUUAUUAUGUGAUAAUAAUUUAAUUUAGUACCUAAAAUUCGGGAAGAACUUGUUUGUAUGUACCUGCUAUUUGUUACGUAUCUCAUUAGAACGAAUUAAAAAAACAGAAUAUAGCCAUUCCUUUUCUAAUUAGUUAAAUUAAAAUUAAAUUACAAAUGACUGUUAAUUUGUUUUGAAAAACUAUCUUGUUCCAGAGCGAGACCAAACUCUAACAAAGUUCAUUAGUUAACAUUGUGUUUUAAUUGAUGUGCUCUUUAAUAAUAUGAUUACAAAACUGUGUUGUGUGCGCAGAUGUUGAGUUUUCGAUCGUGCGACUGUACACUGUUGUACGCCGUUGCCUGUUGGUGACGCUAUGUUUACACUCCGCGCCUGCGCAAACACAGAGCCACCGUCACUAGGAGCUGUUUUAGCUUUUUUACUCCCCGCUGCUACAGAACCCAGUCCACGGAACACAGGUGACCGCCACGCCGUGUGUGUGGUCGGCUAAGAGGAUAUUGUUAGAAUCAGCGCUGCGUGCACGCACGUCUGCGGGCGCGGGGUUGCGGGGUUGCGGGCUGGGGGGACGAAGGGCCGAGGGGGGGUGUCACUGUGCAAAUGCACUCGUAAACCCGACGCGAGGUCAACGGACCCCCUCCCCGUGCGCCCGCUCCCACCAACACCCCGACAUGUAAAACUUAACAACUAUGAUUUAUUUGUUUUGUUUAUAUUAUUAACCUUAAAACCUUUUUAGCGGAGUGAAAUGUAUGUUAAUUUAGACAUAUCUGUCAUUAUUUUAUAGCAAAUAACGUUAAAAUGAGUUAAUUUUCAACACGAGUGCCCGAUUCUCGUAUGUAAUACAGCUCUCUCGCGAUGUGCAUGAGUUUUGACAGGCCAUAGUUAAGCCUGUAAAUAACGCCUUAAAGCCGUCUCUGGAGUUACCUCUCCGCUGCCGGCAGAACAUUUUAUAAUGGAAACCAAAAACGGAGUUUACCUGUUCACGUCUCAAUAUGAGAAUAUUUUUAGAUCUAACGUAUUUUAAGUCUCUCAAGUGUUCCAUGUUUGAUUCUAACUAAAACAACGUACAGUUGAUAACGCAAUUAAAAUUAUACCUUAAAAUAAAAGCUAAGUUAAGUUUAAGGAAAAAUAUUUUUGUGAGAAAACAUAUCUAUUAACGAACUUAUCACAAUGAUGUGUAAUGUCUCAUGUGACAUAUAUUUUAAAUCAUAUAUAAACACGUCAAAGGGGAAAAAAAUUAACUAUAAUGCUUAUGAUAUAUAAUUAAGAUGGAUUGAAUGAAUGGAAUGAAUGAAAAUUUACGCCGAGCUUGCAUCGUCACGGUACAUAUAGCGUUAACAAUUUUUCAUUCAUAAUUAUUGUAUGUGAAACUGGAAACGCGUCGUAUGCAGUGACAAUGCAAACUCGUGGUAAGUGUAAUGUGUGCGCGAUCAAAAGAUCUCAUUAUAAUUGUGUAUUUAUGUGUUACAGAAGCAUGUAAACGAUAAGUUUGUUAUUUAACUACUUAAUGUCUCUAUUGCCUUUUACUGCAAUUUACAUAUUAACAGCCUUUCAAGCAUUAUAUGAAAUAAAUAUUGAUUUUAAUAUCUUUUAAAGCUUCAUCUUAUUAAAGGAAUUUAAUAUCUAUAUAAAA